GGCUGAGUAGCUCAGUUGGUGAGAGCGCACGACUCAUAAUCGUGAGGUCGCGGGUUCGAGUCCCGCCUCAGCUAC
rnacentral:tRNA from 2 species